rnacentral:rRNA from 1 species
UACGUAGGGGGCGAGCGUUGUCCGGAAUCAUUGGGCGUAAAGGGCGCGUAGGCGGCUGUAUAAGUCUGAUGUGAAAGUGCGGGGCUUAACCCCGUAAAGCAUUGGAAACUGUACGGCUUGAGGACAGGAGAGGAAAGUGGAAUUCCUAGUGUAGCGGUGAAAUGCGUAGAUAUUAGGAGGAACACCAGUGGCGAAGGCGACUUUCUGGACUGUAACUGACGCUAAACUGCGAAGGUGUGGGUAUC